AGACGAGGCUAUCGCCUCUCCUCAGCCCGAACGGCAUCGAAGUAAAUCAAGCUUCUUACCCAUAACUCGUG
rnacentral:ncRNA from 1 species